CGUUUCUACCAGAAGCUAUUAUUGGUUCAGGCCAGGCCUGCCCAACCUGUUUGUUUCUCAUUCGGAGGAAUCCAUCUCCUUCGGGUGUCUAGUUGUUUCUUAACAUCCCACCUGGUUAAAGCGCGACGGAUGGAGUGAGACAGAGAGGUGAGAGCAGAGUCGGCAUUGUGUGGAGACGGCCUCUUCACUGUUUAUUGAGACGCUGUCAGUAGAAAUAUUAGGUCAGACAGUUUGGACAAGGUGUCGAGGCAUCUGUCGGAGGAUAAGGUCUAUUUUUAAAGGAGCAACGUCAUAGCCUUCAAAUAAGGAAGCAGCCUGCAGAGCUGCUGAGGAGUUUCUACAACAUUUUACGAUAAACUUUUGGAAAAAAGAAGACUGAGUGGAGGCAAAAAUGGAGACGAGGAGGAAAGGAGAGAUGGGGAAGACGGGGAAGGUUUCACGGAUCUUUUUGCUGCUGCUGGUUCUGCUCAAAAUAACCACACCCUCCUCUGCUCAAAACAGCACCACUGCUUCAGCACCGAACCCUGCUGCUCUCAGUUAUCGCACACGUCCAGCUAACCUCACAGUGGCUGUGGGAGAAUCUGCAGAGUUUCGCUGUGGAGUGCCUAAGUCUUCUCCAAACAUCACAUUCACCAUCUAUAGGAGUCACGGCAACUACAGUCUCAUCUGUCCUUCUGGCCACCUAGAAGAUAUCCCCCAGGCUCUCUAUGGAAGUUGUGAUAUGACGGACGAAGAGUCAGUGGCUGUGUGGACCCUCAAGGGAACUUCAUUCUCUGACAAUGGAGCAAGCUUUAUUUGUCAGCAGUCAAACAAUCCCGAUGCAGCUACUGCCACCCUACACGUUUAUGAUGACGGCACCAGCUAUGCAACUCUCAUUGGCUGUGUCAUUGGGGGCUUCUUCGGCAUGCUGUUGGUGGCUGGUUUAUCAUUUCUAAUGCUGCGCAGAUCUGAGACCCUCCAGAAGUGCUUUUGGGGGGGAGAUACGGAAGAUGAUUUGAACACAAUGGUAACCAAGGAGUAAAAGGACACAGACAGCAGGGGGAGACUGUGUUGUUGCUGAUGUUGCUUUGUUAAACAUAUCCAGGGUUUGGCUCCAUUCACCUUCUAACUGGGAAUAGAAAAGGAAAUUAGCAGGUUUCUAUUUUAAAGUCAUUUCACUGAUCUAAGUGAGGUGAAAACUGGAUGGAACCUAAAUCUAAUCUAAGGAGGGAUCCAGUCUGACCCCCAACACAUUCCUUCCUCCUUCUGCCCUCAAGACCCUACACACAUUACUCAUAGCCUCAAGUUGUAUAAUAUAUCAAGCACUACAAAUAAUUCACAGAAAAAACUUAAGUCAGGUCUCUCUCCCCACUUAUAUCAAUAUGCACUGCCUUUAUUGUAUAUAAAUGAAAUGUAAAAUUAUUGGUGUUAGUGAAUUGUUUAAAUGCUCAUUAGUUUUUGGCCACAUGUAGUAAACAAGUUAAUAAUGUCCUGCUGCAGCCGGAGCACCAAUAAGAUCACAGAGGUCAUGUCCUUGGUAUUUUUUUCUGGGUCUUUAAUAUCUUAAUAUACAUAAUGUGGUAAUAAUCAUAAUAACUUAUAACAUCUAUCAUGCCAUUGAAAUAAGCAGUUAUAUAUAUUUUAAAAUGGCAUAUAUAUAUAGUGAAUUAAACUUUAGUUAAUACCAACAAACUAUUGAAGGUCAAACACUUACUGAUGGAGGUCCCAGUUGCGCUUGUUUAGGCAUGUUAGUCAGCUAUACUGUCACAGCUUGUCCACUUGAGGGAAGCACUUACUCCACAGAUAAUAAGCAGGACAGUUGUCUUAACACAACAGAGACAAAUAUUCACUGGAUUAAAAAAAUUUGUUUUUGUCAACUAACUAAAUUAAAAACGAAAAUAUUGCUAUUCCUUUAUUUGGGAUGAGGUGAGGUAGAUGUCAUUAUGUUGUCAGGCUGAGUGUUUGUACAGAUUUGCAUUGAGAAGUAAAUUGUCCUGAUGUGGUUUGAUGUUGUUGUACAGUCAUGGUCUUGCAUAAAGGCAAAGUAAAGUAGCUUUUAUUUCAACUGUUACCAAAGGUAAACUCAGGGAUGUUUGUGUUUUCAUGCUGGUACUGAUAUUUGUGCGCUCCAUUCCGUCCUUAAAUUUCGUGGUAUAUUUCUUAGUUAUGAUGAUGUACUUUGCUCUUGUUUAUUGUUCAUUCUUAUUGUUGAGACUUGCAAAUCAGAGCUUGCUGUCAGUGUAUGGCCUUUGAAAAAAACAUUAAAGUUACAUGAUGUCAAAAAGAGUGUGCUUACAA
rnacentral:lncRNA from 1 species